UGCAAGUCGAACGAGAGAGAGGGAGCUUGCUUCCUCGAUCGAGUGGCGAACGGGUGAGUAACGCGUGAGGAACCUGCCUCAAAGAGGGGGACAACAGUUGGAAACGACUGCUAAUACCGCAUAAGCCCACGACCCGGCAUCGGGAAGAGGGAAAAGGAGCAAUCCGCUUUGAGAUGGCCUCGCGUCCGAUUAGCUAGUUGGUGAGGUAACGGCCCACCAAGGCGACGAUCGGUAGCCGGACUGAGAGGUUGAACGGCCACAUUGGGACUGAGACACGGCCCAGACUCCUACGGGAGGCAGCAGUGGGGAAUAUUGCACAAUGGGGGAAACCCUAAUGCAGCGACGCCGCGUGGAGGAAGAAGGUCUUCGGAUUGUAAACUCCUGUUGUUGAGGAAGAUAAUGACGGUACUCAACAAGGAAGUGACGGCUAACUACGUGCCAGCAGCCGCGGUAAAACGUAGGUCACAAGCGUUGUCCGGAAUUACUGGGUGUAAAGGGAGCGCAGGCGGGCGAUCAAGUUGGAAGUGAAAUCCAUGGGCUCAACCCAUGAACUGCUUUCAAAACUGGUCGUCUUGAGUAGUGCAGAGGUAGGCGGAAUUCCCGGUGUAGCGGUGGAAUGCGUAGAUAUCGGGAGGAACACCAGUGGCGAAGGCGGCCUACUGGGCACCAACUGAC
rnacentral:rRNA from 1 species